CGCACCUUGCACCUCGUGGCUUACCACGGGGUACGCCCGUUCGAGCGUCACGUUCAAUCGCCUCUGGCGGAACUGGAUGUUGCCGUAGAGGCUCGUCCGAAAUAUAUUAGCGAGGGAGAGGCUUAAGCUUGUGUGAUAAUGUUGCGCUUCCUUAAGUCUUAACCUGCUCCGAAUCGCGUCGCGUCGACGCACUUUACUUUUGACCUCGAAUCGGGCGGGACUACCCGCUGAACUUAA
rnacentral:misc_RNA from 1 species